AAAGAUUCUUCGUUUCUUUACUAUUGUAAUUAAGGAGUUCUACAAGCUGCAAUUGAAUUCCAAUCCAAAUAACCCAAGUAGCAUAACACGGUAGGAGCUUGUACCUUGUAGGUAUGGCACAAACGGAAUUGAAGUAGUUGGGACAUAGGUGUGAUGUAAGGAUGCUGGAGUUGAGCCUUCCCUAUCCAAGGAAGCCUGUUAUAGUCCUGAAAUAGCUAGCAAUGAU